CGGUUGAUCCUGCCGGAGGCUAUUGCUAUCAGGGUUUGACUAAGCCAUGCGAGUCGAGAGGUGAAAGACCUCGGCAUACUGCUCAGUGACACGUGGAUAAUCUGCCCUCAGGUGAGGAAUAAUCCCGGGAAACUGGGGCUAAUGCCUCAUAGGAGACGGGUGCUGGAAUGCUCUGUCUCUGAAAGGUCCGCCGCCUGAGGAUGAGUCUGCGUCCGAUUAGGUUGUUGUUGGGGUAACGGCCCACCAAGCCAUUGAUCGGUACGGGUUGUGAGAGCAAGAGCCCGGAGAUGGAUUCUGAGACAUGAAUCCAGGCCCUACGGGGCGCAGCAGGCGCGAAAACUUUACAAUGCGAGCAAUCGUGAUAAGGAAACCCUGAGUGCCUGUCAAUGCAGGCUGUUCUGGUGUUUAGUCAGCACCAGGAGAAAGGGCGGGGCAAGACCGGUGCCAGCCGCCGCGGUAAUACCGGCUGCUCGAGUGAUAGCCACUUUUACUGGGCUUAAAGCGUUCGUAGCUUGGUCGUUAAGUCUCUGGGGAAAUCUUUUGGCUCAACCAAAAGACGUCUCAGAGAAACUGGCGACCUUGGGACCGGGAGAGGUAAGACGUACUUCGGGGGUAGGAGUGAAAUCUUGUAAUCCCCGAGGGACGACCGAUGGCGAAGGCAUCUUACCAGAACGGCUCCGACAGUGAGGGACGAAAGCUGGGGGAGCAAACCGGAUUAGAUACCCGGGUAGUCCCAGCCGUAAACGAUGUGCGUUAGGUGUGUCAGUGACCACGAGUCACUGAGGUGCCGAAGGGAAACCGUGAAACGCACCGCCUGGGAAGUACGGUCGCAAGGCUGAAACUUAAAGGAAUUGGCGGGGGAGCAC
rnacentral:rRNA from 1 species